GGAGAGUAAAGCUGACUGCCCAGCACAGAGCUGUAUUCAGAAUCCAUUUCAGAGCCUCAAGCCUUGCCUGGCAGCUGCCUCACCACAUCAGCCGCCGAGGCUGGCAGCUCCCACUGCUUUGAGCUCAUCAUUCAAAGAUGAUUCCUGCAGCACGCUUGAGUGACAGAGCUAAGAUGAGAGGGGGUGAGUUUCUGGCCAGAGGGCCAGAGCACUGAGGGUGCACAUGCGUGGUCCUCGCUGGCUCUGCAGCUGUAGCGGUCUUGAGUGUCCCUCAGAUUCUCCUGCACUGAAAGCUUCUUCCUCAAGGAGUGCUCCCUGUAGGGACUGGAGCUAGGUGGAUCAAGUGUUGCCAGGGCCCUGAGUAAAGAGUGGUGAAAAAAACUCAGGAUUACACCAAAUUUCACAAUGCUGAAGUUGAGGGAGA
rnacentral:lncRNA from 1 species